GGACAGGCUCUGGAAUCCAGGCCGUCUGUCUCCAAGGUCUCCCAACUGCCUGAAUCUUAACUUAAGGUCAUUCCUCUGCUGCUGGACCAAUUACACACGCACAUACACAGCCCUGCGGAUUCUCAGCCAGACGCCUUGCAGGGUGAAUUGUUCCAGCACAUCCUCCUGUGGGUUUACAUUGGAAAUAUGGCCUGCCAAGGGCUGAAAUUAUUCCAUUUUACCACCGAUACUUACAAAAAGAAGGCAAGGAGACAAGAAUGGAAAGAAUGUCUUGAUGGAACCUUCCCUGUCCAACACAUACAAAAGAAGAAAACAAAAACAACUCACUCAACCUCCAUAGAAGAGAGAGUGAAUCCAUUCCGCCUCCCAGUUGGACUCAACCACCUUCCAGGAACUUUUCCUCCCAGUUCCAAGAUUAACCAACAGGCCUGAUUUCCUGAAACUGGAACCUCCCUCUGCAUGUGGAAAUGAACACAGCAGCAGCAGCAACACCUGCACCAGCAAGAGGUCAGCCAGGAAGUGAGUCAAGAGUCCAACCGUUACAGACAGACACACAGACAUGCUCUAAUAGUGUAUUGCUACACAGGAAUAAAAUAGUGUAUUUCUCUCAUUUCCAAUUAGAGAACGUGGAAUCCAUUCCCAUGAAUUACAUUAAUGAAGAUCAACAUAAAAACCUUUACCAACAUUGACAAGAGUUUAAUGUGCAUGAUAAACUGAAAACGUGUCAGUUGAAGAUAUUCAUUGUUAUUACGUUGUGAAAUUAAGGGGUAAAUUUGCCCAGCUAGACACAUUACAAUGGUAAAUAACAAGGGAUGUCAUGAGAUGUCUUACGCAUUUCUGAAUUGAAAUAGAUGUUUUCCAAAAAGCAAAAACAUCCACCUCAAAGCCGAAUGGGAAAUGACAACUCUGACUUUGUAUAACAAUCACAUGGCUCC
rnacentral:lncRNA from 8 species